rnacentral:tRNA from 1 species
ACACUGAUAGUAUAAAAGUACAGCUGCCUUCCAAGCAAAAAGUCCUCAACAGGCCAGUGUA